AUGCGUAGCCUUAUGAAACAUCAGCGAUGCACUGAAAAAAUACAGAAAGUUCUUAAAUCCCUGCUUGCUCCCCAGGUGAAAUGUUGUAAGGAGGGAGGAUUUCUCCUGAGGACAGCAGCCAGGAAACAGCCAGGUGUGCGAUGCCUUAAAUCAGACACGAGCACGCAGCGAGGCCCAGUUUUCGAUAGGAUGCCGGCUCUUGAAAAUUUACGUAAAUUCCCGGCGAUGUCAGAUCGCGUGAUGGCGGUGCCGGUUCGAAGCCCCCUCUCUCAAAGCGACUUCCAGCAGACCAUGACGGGGAUCAAGAUAAAAACUGCUGCCUGCUCCCGCUUUUGCAUGGUUUGUGGCACACCAGACCCCUUGCCCCGGGAGUUCAGCGGGGCCGAGAGGUGCCCAGGGGCUCGGGGCCGGCAGUGCCGCUGCAGCCGCCCCUGCGGCAUGAGGAGCACGGCUCGGACGCCCAGCGCCGGGGGCGCGCACGGAGCUGCGGGCGCGCCCCGAGGGGCCCCGGCGCCGGGAGCCGCUGCUCCGCCGGGAGAACGGCCCCGAGCCGCCGCUCCCCGCUCCGGCCCGUCCUUCCCUUCCUUCCCUUCCUUCCCUUCUUUCCCUUCCUUCCCUUCCCUUCUUCCCUUCCACCGCCUUCUCCCCGCCGGGCUGACCACGCGGCUGAAUUUAUGAAGAGCGAUGUUUUAGCAGAAAUCCCCCCGAGUCUCCCAUCAGCCCUAAAUCCCCAGCCUGCUCUCCCUGGGAGACCUCAUGACACAGAGCAUGCCAAAACAGCUUCGUUUUGCCUAUGCAUUAGCAAUCUAUUUUACCUUUUUGACAUCUCUCACACAUAAAACCGUAAGAGAGAAAUAAAAUAUCUGUCUCUGGGCGAAAAUAAAGCUUU
rnacentral:lncRNA from 1 species